CAGUCUUCACUUUCACUUUGGAUGUUGUCUCCUGGCUUCUAGCUUAAACUCCAGCCUUUAGCACAGACCCUUUAGCCUUCCAUUGAAGAUUCUUUGGCCCUCUGAUACAGACUCGCAUGGGACACUACUGUGAGUGCCAAGCCUUCAACUGGAUCCUUCAGGUCUCCAGCGCAUAGACAGCCCUUUUGCACUCUUCUACAGCUGACUCUGGGCAGCCCUGGAUAAGUUCUGAGCGUUGAAAAGAAAAGUCUAGAGAUGCAGCCAGAUCUCGGCGAAGCAAAGAGUCUAAAGUAUUUUAUGAGCUUGCUCAUCAGUUGCCACUUCCCCAUAAUGUGAGCUCACAUCUUGAUAAGGCUUCUGUUAUGAGGCUUACCAUCAAUUAUUUGCGUGUGAGAAAACUUCUGGAUGCUGGUGAUCUGGAUAUUGAAGAUGAAAUGAAAGCACAGAUGAACUGCUUUUAUUUGAAGGCCCUGGAUGCCUUUGUUACGG